rnacentral:rRNA from 1 species
UACAGAGGUCUCAAGCGUUGUUCGGAUUCAUUGGGCGUAAAGGGUGCGUAGGUGGCGCUGUAAGUCGGGUGUGAAAUUUCGGAGCUUAACUCCGAAACUGCAUUCGAUACUGCGGUGCUUGAGGACUAGAGAGGAGACUGGAAUUCAUGGUGUAGCAGUGAAAUGCGUAGAGAUCAUGAGGAAGACCAGUGGCGAAGGCGGGUCUCUGGACAGUUCCUGACACUGAGGCACGAAGGCCAGGGGAGCAAACGGG